UACGGAGGGGGCUAGCGUUGUUCGGAAUUACUGGGCGUAAAGCGCACGUAGGCGGCUUUGUAAGUUAGAGGUGAAAGCCCGGGGCUCAACCCCGGAAUUGCCUUUAAGACUGCAUCGCUAGAAUUGUGGAGAGGUAAGUGGAAUUCCGAGUGUAGAGGUGAAAUUCGUAGAUAUUCGGAAGAACACCAGUGGCGAAGGCGGCUCACUGGCUCAUACUGGACGCUGAGGUGCGAAAGCGUGGGGAGCAAACAGG
rnacentral:rRNA from 1 species